rfam:Triticum aestivum genome assembly, contig: Triticum_aestivum_CS42_TGACv1_scaffold_211439_3AS
AAUAUACUCCCUCCGCCUGGAAAUACUUGUCGAAGAAAUAGAUGUAUCUAAACGUAUUUUAGUUUUAGAUACAAUCAUUUUUAUCAAUUUCUUUGACAAGUAUUUCCAGAUGAAGGGAUUACUAA